rnacentral:tRNA from 1 species
GCCUCCAGAGUGGUACUUGAACCACCGCUCUCCUAAAGCGGGUGCCGCAGGUUCGAAUCCUGCCGGGGGCA